rnacentral:rRNA from 1 species
UACGAAGGGUGCAAGCGUUACUCGGAAUUACUGGGCGUAAAGCGUGCGUAGGUGGUGAGUUAAGUCUGUCGUGAAAGCCCCGGGCUCAACCCGGGAAUGGCGAUGGAUACUGGCUCGCUAGAGUGCGGUAGAGGAGAGUGGAAUUCCCGGUGUAGCAGUGAAAUGCGUAGAGAUCGGGAGGAACACCAGUGGCGAAGGCGGCCUUCUGGACCAAUACUGACGCUCAUGCACGAAAGCGUGGGGAGCAAACAGG